UCCCUGCCCUGGCCGCGUGGCCGCCGGGAUCUUCCCUCGGGAGGGCGGCGAGGGGUUGUCUCCGCUCCCCCCUCGUCGAGCCGAGAGCCAGCAGUGAAUGCUCGUACUCCAUAGUGAGCUUUGUUCGCGUCCGGGGAUGCCCUGUGAGCUGCUCUGUGGUGGACAUAGCUCCUGAUAAUUCCUCAGUUAUCUUAAAAACCAGAACUCUUGUCUGUAUAGAAUGAACUAUUUCGUAAGGACCUUUGUGCUGGUUAUGUGUUUCGUUUUUAUUUUCUUUUGUUUGUUUGUUUCUUAUACCCAGUAGAGCUCUCUACCUUAGGGGCUGUUCUGAAGAGUCGCUCCUGGUGCUGCAGUAUCCGCAUUUCCUUGUUCAGGAAAACGUAGUCCUGGGUGCUUUGUCUCUGAGCAGCACAGCUUUGUGGGAACCUACAAAAUGGGAAGUAGUGCCAGAGCCUUGCGAAGUUGCUGAGAAGGAAACACACGAAAGCCUGCUGCAGGCUUUAAAAUGGCUUUCCUAAGAGUAAAAGCAAUGCCAAAAUGGAAGACAAAAGAUAUGCCACACUGGAAAUAUAUUUUGAAGCUUGAGUUUAUUAAUUCAGUUAAAAAAUAUGCAUAGAUCUUUCUGAAAGAUAUAUUAGUACCUGAGAAAAACAAGUUAUUUUAGUACAGGAAAAAAACAGAAUGACAUCCCUUUAAGUCUGUUCCUGCAUGUAUGAGAAAUCAACAGCAUUUUCAAAGACUUGAAAUUUCCUCUUACCAGUUCACUGUACAAUAAAAACACGUUGCUGCGUUUGUACAGGCAGACCGCAGUUAAUGAAACUUUGGAAGCUUUACAGGUUCUGAAAUGAAAUGCAGGUCUGUUUGGAGAAUAAAGUUCUAUUCACUAAAGUACUCAGGAGAGGUUGACACCAGUGCGAGGAGAUUUUCUGUUGACUUCUGUGAACUGCGAAUCAGAUCUGAGGAGAUAAAUCCAGCUCUUUCUGAAGCCAAUAAGAAUUGCUGUGAUACUGGGAUCUGAGCUAGGUUUUUACCGGGUCAUUUCCAGGUCUUCACUACAAAUUUGACUGGACCAUCUACACAGAAUGAAGCUGUGAAAGGACUGUAGGAAGAGAACAGUGUUGAGAAAUUAUAUACAGUAUCUUGUCCAGAACAUGUUUCUGAAUAUUCCAUGUCGUCACAAAUUGACAUAUGCUGCUGCUCAAGGAACUGUAAUGGUGCUUCUGCGCUUUUUAUUUUUCCUGCAGGUUCGAAAACCACCAUAUAACAGCCAUUUUCUGUGAAAGAAGAUACAGAUGGAACUUUGUCAAAACACUUGUUAAAAAUUGUUUGAAAAGUCCUGAGUGGUUUUUAACGUGUUUUAUCACAUGACAACAUCUCUGUGCUGUGGGCAGGACUGAGGCAGAUGGUUAUACAGACAGAUAGUUGUCCUGUCUCUCAGCGUGGUGUUAUCAGAAGGCACACUGAGUACUUCUCUCACAACCUGAAGGUGUCUGCCAUUGAAUUUGCUUGUGCUGGACUUGUCUUAUAUAGGUACAGGUUGCUACAAGGCUAGUGAGGGUGUGGAUUUCUAGUUUGUCAGGUAACCCACAUUAACAACCUAUGGACACAGCUGUGCCCAGCAGUGAGCAGAAGCCGUGUGUUCCUCAAUGAAAACAGGGUCACAGCAUGCACAGAGGCAGUUUCCAGGGAGCAGCUAACACGCUGUAAAUCCCCACCCACUCUUGCCUCACUCUAAUUUGUGUGCGUAGUCAUACCCCAAGCAAAGGUGAAUAAAUACACCCAUGAGCUGGGCAGAAAAAUCUCAUCCCACAAACGCCAUUUAGCAUAACACAACGGACAGCAGAGAGUGGGCUUAAGAAAGCUGGGUUUACCAUUGGUGUCGGGGUUUUUCCCCUCACUGAAAUAAAUUGCUUUUGUAUUGUGACUACUUUCACAGUUCACAAGUUUCCCUUUUUUUUUUUCCAGUUAGCAAUAGCUGUUACCAAAGUUCAUCUGUUUCUCUUUGCACUUUAAUUUACAACCCUUAUACUAGUCAUUUUAUUGCUUCAACCUCUGAGUAAGAGAAUUUUUACAGCUUGUUCAUACCGAACUCGGAGAAACAAGAAGGCUUUUUGACCUGUUGUGGUGUAAUUAUAGACCCCAUUGCUUCUUGGGAGGGGCAUUCAAUGUUUAACAAACUGUGGCAACUCUAAUUUAACUGUGUGGAGCCUGGACCAUCGGAUGUGAGUUAAAAAAAAAUGAAAAUCUUGGACUUUUUCCAGCUCACAUUUUAAUUUGUCUGUUUUUAGUCUCCAAGAGGGCUGCCCUUGAAGUUCUGUCGUCCCACUAUGAAACUUCAUGCAGCUCCUUUCUUAGCAGUAUGAGGGCAUUGGAGCCAAAUAAGAAAACAAUUUUCUCUUCCUUCAGAAAUUAUAGCUACACUACUCUUGAUUAAUCCUUUCAUGGUAUGAGUCUUCUGAAUGCCAUGCCAUGAAAGUACGGCUCUUGACAACAAAAAAAAUUGUCCUGUCUUAAUUACUACUAUUGUUACUAUUAUAGUUUCUUAAUUGCUACUAUUGUCUCCCCUAUUAUAGGGGAUGUUGUCAUGGACAAAGAUUCAAUUGUUUUCAACAGUAUAAAAACAGAGAAUAAAUAGAUACCAUGUUUGAAA